rnacentral:rRNA from 1 species
UGAGCGGAGAUAUAUGGAGCUUGCUUUAUAUAACUUAGCAGCGAACGGGUGAGUAACACGUAGAUAAUCUAUCCUAUACUGGGGGAUAGCCCGAUGAAAGUUGGAUUAAUACCGCAUAUAGCUAUAUAGUUGCAUGAUUAUGUAGUGAAAGAUUUAUUGGUAUAGGAGGAGUCUGCGGCACAUUAGCUAGUAGGUGAGGUAAAGGCUUACCUAGGCGACGAUGUGUAGCCGGUCUGAGAGGAUGAACGGCCACAAUGGAACUGAGACACGGUCCAUACUCCUACGGGAGGCAGCAGUGGGGAAUAUUGCACAAUGUGGGAAACCCUGAUGCAGCAACGCCGCGUGAGUGAAGAAGGUUUUCGGAUUGUAAAGCUCUGUUAGCAGGGAAGAGGAAGGACGGUACCUGCAGAGGAAGCCACGGCUAACUACGUGCCAGCAGCCGCGGUAAUACGUAGGUGGCAAGCGUUGUUCGGAAUAACUGGGCGUAAAGGAUGCGUAGGCGGUUAAACAAGUUAUAUGUUAAAUAUAUAGGCUUAACCUGUAGAAAGCAUAUAAAACUGUUUAACUAGAGUGCAGGAGAGGUAAGUGGAAUUCCUAGUGUAGCGGUGAAAUGCGUAGAGAUUAGGAAGAACACCAGUGGCGAAGGCGACUUACUGGACUGUAACUGACGCUGAGGCAUGAGAGCAUGGGGAGCAAACAGGAUUAGAUACCCUGGUAGUCCAUGCUGUAAACGAUGGGUACUAGGUGUGGGUUGUGAAUAACAAUUCGU